rnacentral:rRNA from 1 species
GAUGAACGCUGGCGGUAUGCUUAACACAUGCAAGUCGAACGGAGUGCUUCGGCACUUAGUGGCGGACGGGUGAGUAACGCGUGAGAAUCUGGCUUCGGGUUCGGGACAACAGUGGGAAACUGCUGCUAAUACCGGAUGUGCCUAAGGGUAAAAGAUUAAUUGCCCGAAGAUGAGCUCGCGUCCGAUUAGCGAGUUGGUGUGGUAAGAGCGCACCAAGGCGGCGAUCGGUAGCUGGUCUGAGAGGACGAUCAGCCACACUGGGACUGUGACACCGCGCAGACUCAUACGGGAUGCAGCAGUGGGGAAUGUUCCGCAACGGGCGAAGGCCUGACGGAGCAAUACCGCGUGAGGGAGGAAGGCUCUUGGGUUGUAAACCUCUUUUCUCAGGGAAGAAAAAAAUGACGGUACCUGAGGAAGCAGCAUCGGCUAACUCCGUGCCAGCAGCCGCGGUAAUAC